rnacentral:rRNA from 1 species
GACGAACGCUGGCGGCGUGCUUAACACAUGCAAGUCGAACGGUAAGGCCCUGCUUUUGUGGGGUGCUCGAGUGGCGAACGGGUGAGUAACACGUGAGUAACCUGCCCUUGACUUUGGGAUAACUUCAGGAAACUGGGGCCAAUACCGGAUAGGAGCUCCUGCUGCAUGGUGGGGGUUGGAAAGUUUCGGCGGUUGGGGAUGGACUCGCGGCUUAUCAGCUUGUUGGUGGGGUAGUGGCUUACCAAGGCUUUGACGGGUAGCCGGCCUGAGAGGGUGACCGGCCACAUUGGGACUGAGAUACGGCCCAGACUCCUACGGGAGGCAGCAGUGGGGAAUAUUGCACAAUGGGCGGAAGCCUGAUGCAGCAACGCCGCGUGCGGGAUGACGGCCUUCGGGUUGUAAACCGCUUUCGCCUGUGACGAAGCGUGAGUGACGGUAAUGGGUAAAGAAGCACCGGCUAACUACGUG